rnacentral:rRNA from 1 species
UGGGGAAUAUUGCACAAUGGGCGCAAGCCUGAUGCAGCCAUGCCGCGUGUAUGAAGAAGGCCUUCGGGUUGUAAAGUACUUUCAGCGAGGAGGAAGGUGUUGUGGUUAAUAACCGCAGCAAUUGACGUUACUCGCAGAAGAAGCACCGGCUAACUCCGUGCCAGCAGCCGCGGUAAUACGGAGGGUGCAAGCGUUAAUCGGAAUUACUGGGCGUAAAGCGCACGCAGGCGGUUUGUUAAGUCAGAUGUGAAAUCCCGGCUCAAGCCUGGAACUGGCAUUGAAACUGGCAAGUCUUGAAGUCUGCGAUAUGAGGGGGGU